rnacentral:tRNA from 1 species
CAAAAAGUAGCUUAACCCAAAGCAUUCGUCUUACACACGAAAAAUGUUAUAUUUAACCUUUUUGA